rnacentral:rRNA from 1 species
AGCUCUCUUUCUAUUCUUCGGAUUCAAGAAGACCCUGGGAUAUUGAACUGGAGCUAGAGUCUCCUUUCCGUCCAUCGAUUGGCAAGCAAGCCAAGAAGAGGAGCCUUGAUCUCUCGGUGAAGUGAAAAUCUUCUUCAUCCGAGGAUAAGGAAGCCGAUGCGAGCUCACGUCAGUUCUACGUCUUUCUAAGGAAUGGGCUGAUACAGGUUCAGGUGAAAGUCGCCAAAAACUGGUGGAAUGCUUUCGAAACCAAUUCACUUGAGUGAGACAGAGGAGAGUGGAAUUUCGUGUGUAGGGGUGAAAUCCGCAGAUCUACGAAGGAAGGCCAAAAGCGAAGGCAGCUCUCUGGGUCCCUACCUACGCUGGAGUGCGAAAGCAUGGGGAGCGAACGUGAUUAGAUACCCUGGUAGUCCAUGCCAUAAACGAUGAGUGUUCGCCCUUGGUCUACGUGGAUCAGCGGCCCAGCUAACGCAUAAAACACUC